UACGGGGGGGGCAAGCGUUGUUCGGAAUUACUGGGCGUAAAGGGCUCGUAGGCGGCCAACUAAGUCCGACGUGAAAUCCCCGGGCUCAACCCGGGAACUGCGUCCGAUACUGGCAGGCUUGAAUUCGGGAGAGGGAUGCGGAAUUCCAGGUGUAGCGGUGAAAUGCGUAGAUAUCUGGAGGAACACCGGUGGCGAAGGCGGCAUCCUGGACCGAAAUUGACGCUGAGGCGCGAAAGCCAGGGGAGCAAACGGG
rnacentral:rRNA from 1 species